GAAAUCCUCAUGUUAACGGUUCCAAUUUCCAAUCCAGAUUGGUAGGAUAGAGCACUGGAA
rnacentral:tRNA from 1 species